GUUCUUUUCUUUUUUCACAAUUUUUUUUGUCACAAACAAUCGUAAGGGUUCGAUGGACCCGUUUCUUUCUCAGCCGUCGUGAUAUAGGAUCAGACUCUAGGGUUUCGAUUCAGUUGCUUUAUCUUAUUCCUACCGAUCUAGAAAUUUAACAGUUACAGAUUCAUCUUUUUAAAGUCCUCCUUAAAUCAAUUCUCCACGAUCUACAUUCAAUGCGAAAUUCGAUCUUGCAAAGCGGUGAAAAUUUGAGUAUAAAAGUUUGCGAACAGGUGGCUUUAGUGGACAUGACUAUCCUACCAAGGAUGGUGGUGCGGUAAACACCAGUCUCAUCUCAGAAUCCGGCUUUCCGUUUGUUUUAUAAGAGUAGUGGAACGUCUGCUCCACUACCAAAGAAUGUCUGUGUUAGAAAUGGUUGCUGCUUUUAAAAAAGCUCCUGGCAAGAAAAUACCUAUCAAGCUUUGUCCGAGAAGGCCAGUAGAUGCAACUGCAGUUUAUGCUUCAACAGAGAGAGCUGAUAAAUAAUUAUGUAUCAAUUUUGAUUUCCUUUUACACAUAAUCUCUUUAUAAUAACAUUCUUUUUGAUGCUUCUAACGUUUCUUUGGUUGGUUGGAUGCAACUUUAUUUUUAGCAUU